GCAACAUGCUUAAGGGAGAGUAAUGAUUCUUUGUUUCCCUCCUUAAUUGUAAGCUUCUGACAUCCAUUUAUUUACUUACAGUUCCUAGCAGCAGCCACCCUCCUUAGUCAACACGCACUCUUGGCUGCCCUGGGUGCUUUCUAACAAAGGGCUAUAUGGAACCACACACAGUGGGUGGAACCCCCAAGCUCAAUCUAUCCCCAUUACCACAGACCUCAGAGAGUCUGAGGUCCAGAUCUACGCAACAAGGCUGGGAAGCAGUCUGGGAUUCACAUCUUCCUAGAGCUGGAGGAAACAGGGGUUGGCCUAUGAACAAGAAGUGAUACAAUGGAAAGAACAACAGAGAUGUAGGCAAGAGACCUGCCUUCUGGUGUUGGCUCAGGGCAUGACCAUAGGCACAUCAGUUAACCUUGCUGGGAUUUGGUUACAGUGUAAGGGGAUUGGACAAAACUGGCUCCAAGGUCCAAACGGACAAAAAUUCAAAGAAAAUAGAAAGGUUAAGUGACUGGCUCAUUAUCACUGUAUUUCUAAGAAAAACCAGAGCAUGAAGUUGGAAGAAAUAUGGAAAGUGAUGUAGUUUGAAAACUGUUAAAAGAAUCAUAUGAUUUUCAAGAGCUCUGAUCUAGGGUUGGAAGUGUGGCAUUUAAAAAUGCAUUUAAACCUAACUUGGACUACAUAAAAAUAAUUUCCUUUUUCUGCUGUAUUCCACAAAGAUCUGGAAAACAUUCUCAGCCCUGUUUCAACCUUAAAUGAGAAAAGAAUCUUUAAAGAGUCACUGAUUUGUAAUGGAAAACUUGGAUAAAUCACUAUUUAUACUUGAAGAUUUUUAUAUUUCUUUUUGUCCUUUCUUCACAACACACAGCUAAGAAAAGCCAUGAUGUAAGUCUGCCCUACUGGACCUCAUCAGUGGUUGUUUAUUCUGUAUCUACAGCCCAGCAGCUUCUCUGACUGCAGCACGUAGAAAACAAGAAACCAAAGAACACUUCCAAACUAAAAAGAGAGUAAAUGUCAAUUAAUUUAGCAUGAGCAUAGAGAAAAAAAAGUCAGAAUACCUAGCUUUUUAUCUGUGGUCCACUGUUUGUAAACUAAAAUUAUUGAAGAUUCCUGAAUCUUGCAGACGAGGAAUCUGCAAACUGGGGAAAUAAUACCCUGUCUCCUGAUGUAUCAAGAAACAUGCAUGUGAAAGGUAUCAUUACAAGCAUUCACCUGAUAAGCUAAACUGGAAGAAGUUUUCAUUAAACACCUACUAUCAAAUUUUUGGAUCCAUACUUAAAAUUCCAACUGGAACCACUAUCAGAAAAGCUGCUAAGAUCUUCCCUGAGUAUAUACCUUCACCAAUUCACUGCUUUAGUUGUGUUUAAUAUCUGGGAAAUUAUACCCAAUUCCAUGCAUAUCUUUAAGAAAGACCCUGGGCUGAAGGGGCACAAUCAAAAUGUGUUUGUGAGUUGUGGGUGGAGGAGACUGAAACUAGGUGGUGUAAGAAAUGAAUAAAGAAACUGAGUGUUUCAUUUGGAAUAAAGAAGAAUAGAGUCCUUUCGGUUAAAGGACUACACUGUGGCAAGAAGAGUAGCUUGGCUUGCUUUAGUUCUGGAGGCAGAACCAGGAUACACGAACUAAAGUUCCUGGGAGCUGGAUUUCAGCUCACAACAAGGAAGCACUUUUGGACACUCACAGGCAUAUAACAAGUGAGCAGGUGAUGAUGGAAAAUACUAAGUGCCUGAUACUAUGGGUGAUGGAUGAGAGACUACUGCACCACCUUCUGAAGCUCUUAUUUGAUUUUCUCUCUGUGGCUUUGACUUUCUCUUAGGACUUAGAAUCCUUGGGAAUAUGAACCUGAAUCAUACAUCCCCACUUUCCAAUCCCUUGUCUAAAGACUUGUCUAUGCCCUACAAGGAAAAAUAUCACUAAGAAAAUGUUUCAAUGAUUUUUACUGAAAAUGGGAGAAAAAAGAUAACGGAGGCCAAUUACUAAAUUAGGUUAUCUUGUUUUCAAUUGUCUUUUUUUAGCCAUCAGAUAGCUUUACUGCAGCUGGCUGAGUUUAGUGUCUUCAAAUGUGGGUGAGUAGGGCAAUAAAAGGAAACUUUUUUUUUUUGAAAGACCACAUAAAAUACCCAACAGGAUUUUUUCCCCUAAUCUGGCCAUGUGAGCACAACCUGGCUGUUCUGCAACUGAGCGCUAUUAACAUCUAUUUAUAGCCACUAUUUUCAUAGAUGAAUCACAUUUACCAUAAGUCAGUUAAUAUUAAAGGGGCCAACCAGCUCUGCUGAGAACCCCAUAAUCUUAAUACAUCUCUUUCCAUUCUUUCAGGGAACUAAAUCUUAGCUUAAAGGUUCUGUGUAAAGAUAGGGGGAAAUGCAAGUGCAAAUGUAAAGAUAGCAGACAGUCUGCCCUCUAAACUCAGCAAAGUAUGGGGUGUUAAAUAUAUUCAAAUUUAAAGCCUUGGAUCACUCCCAGCUUUGUUCCUUGGCCAUGAGUGUCGUACAGUUAGCACAGACUCACUCCGUGUUAUGCAGUCUUCUUGCCAUCAAAACAAACAAUUUAUGUCUAAAAUUUCCCACUACACUAAGUUUAAAUGACUGCCUUAAUAAAAUGUUACAUGCUUAAAAACAGAACUAAUGAUGGUUAAUGGUGCUGUCAAAUUAAAAAAUAGUGUAGUGCAUACUCAGUUCAUUUCAUGCAUGUGAGGGUGUCUGUGAGAGGGCUGGGGGUGAGGGAUAGCAGAUCAGGG
rnacentral:lncRNA from 10 species